rnacentral:snRNA from 1 species
GUUCUUCCUUUAAUAGCACAUCCACUAAAAUUGGAACAAGACAGAGAUGAUUGGAUGGCUGCUGUGCAAGAGUGAUAUGCCAAUUCAUGGUGUUCUAUGGAAUCAG